GCUCCUCCAGGGACGGGUAGUGUGACGUUUGGGGUCAGAACGCACCACUUUCGGGCACCCCCACUUAAGAUUGCUCAACUGCUUUGAGCUCAGAAAGCAAGGUGUAAAGGUGGGGGAAAAGCACUUUCGUCUCAGAAUUACAGCUACUGGUAUGGAAAAGCUGGGGCCCUUCGCUGGUGUGAGUCCUAAGGAUGUCUAAAUGGAACGUGCAUCUGCUACAGGCUCGCACUUUCCUUUAUUGCGCUUCCCAGACUUCCUGCUGUUGUAAGCAACCACUACAGAUUUCUCAGAAGUACUGUGGCAAAUAAAAAUGAUUGAGAAUCAUUAUACAUUUUCUAUUCUACUAGAGAGACAGUUUAAAAUAAAAUAGAAUGCUAAGACCACCAUGCAGUGGAAAAGCUCCAUCUACCAGAAGAUGAGAAGCCAUGUGGAGAACUAAGACUUCCCAGCCAAUAGCCAGCACCAACUGCCAGACACGUAAGUGAGGCCAUCUUGAACCCUCCAACCCUAGAUGUAUUCACGGUUCUCCAGAGAAACAGAACCAAUAAGAUGUGUGUGUGUGUGUGUGUGUGUGUUUAUAAAGAUAUUUAUUUUAAGGACUUGACUCACUUGAUUAUAGAGCUUCCAAGUCCAAAAUCUGCAGGGUGGGUUGGCAGGCUGGAGGCCAGGGAAAAGGUGAUGCUACAGUUCAAGUCUGAGAGCCAUCUACUGGCAAAAUUCCUUCUUGCUCAUGGAAGGUCAGUCUUUUGUUCUAUUCAGGCCUUCAGUUGAUUGGAUAAGGCCUACUCACAUUAUGGAGGGCAAUCUGCGUUAUUCAAAGUCCCCUGAUUUGUUACUCAGAGGUGAGAAAAAUCAUGGUGUACUAAAGUCACCACAAAAACUUCUGUAGAUCAUAUGGAGAAGCAGGAGAGAUGAAGCUGGAGAGCAAAGCAGCAAAUCAGCAAUUAAAAAAGAUGUUUGGAGUUGUUGAGUUUGGAGAUGAAAAGUGACAAGAUGAAUUCUGGAUUUUAGACAAAGCAAUCCAACGUGUGGAUGGAGAGGGAUUUGAGAGGAGAAAUCAGCUGUUGUCAGUAAGAGUAUUUAAAUUAGGAUACUGGUAACGGGGAUGGAGAGACACACGAUUAUACAUGGGAAGUGAGAGCAGAAAGAAUUAGGAUUAUUUCUUGAUUUUUUUUUUUUUUUUUUUUUUUUGCUCAGGCAACUGAAUAGAUGAAGUCAUUAAUGGAAACCAGGAACACUGAAGAAACAGUGAACAAUUAAAGUACUUUGAGUUAUCAAA